rnacentral:rRNA from 1 species
GACGAACGCUGGCGGCGUGCCUAAUACAUGCAAGUAGAACGCACAGUUUAUACCGUAUCUUGCUCCACCAUAAACUGUGAGUUGCGAACGGGUGAGUAACGCGUAUCUAACCUGCCUGGUAGCGGGGGAUAACUAUUGUAAACGAUAUCUAAUACCGCAUAAUCUUAAUUAUUGCAUGAUAAUUGAUUGAAAGAUGCAAUUGCUUCACUACCAUAUGGACCUGCGUUGUAUUAGCUAGUAGGGGAGGUAACGGCUCACCUAGGCGACGAUACAUAGCCGAUCUGAGAGGGUGAUCAGCAAAACUGGAACUGAGACACGGCCAAGACUCCUACGGGAGGCAGAAGUGGGGAAUAUUGGAAAAGGGGAGAAAGCCUGACCGAGAAAGGCCGCGUGGGUGAAGAAGGUUUUCGGGUUGUAAAGCCCUGUUGUAGGGAAAGAAAGGGGGGAGGGUGGAAAAGGGAAGAUCGGAAGGUAAACUAAGAAAAAGGGGAGGCUAAAUUAGUG